UACGUAGGCAGCGAGCGUUGUUCGGAGUUACUGGGCGUAAAGGGUGUGUAGGCGGUUGUUUAAGUUUGGUGUGAAAUCUCCCGGCUCAACUGGGAGGGUGCGCCGAAUACUGAAUGACUAGAGUGCGGGAGAGGAAAGUGGAAUUCCUGGUGUAGCGGUGAAAUGCGUAGAUAUCUGGAGGAACACCGGUGGCGAAGGCGGCAUCCUGGACCGACACUGGCACUGAGGAGCGAAAGCCAGGGGAGCAAACGGG
rnacentral:rRNA from 1 species